AUCACUACUCGUCUGAAAUAAUGGGCCGGGCAGAAGGAAUUAACGGGUUAUUCGGAAAGCUCACCCCGAUCCACUAAUUACUCACAGCUCUUCGGUGUGUCUUCGUCGUGUGGCCGCCUCCAUCUCCGAACGAAAUCGCCGGACCUCGACGACUCAUCUCUCUCUCUCUCUCUCUCUCUCACACACACACACACGCACAUCUACCAUGACGACCGACAUGGCUCCGCCGCUGCCCCGAAACCCAAGCACCACCGCCACCGAAGAGUCUCCGUCAACAGAGCCCGAAACCAAAACCCUAGACGACGAACUGCCCUCCGCCUCUGCACCACCGCCCCGAAACCCAAGCACCACCGCCACCGAAGAGUCUCCGUCAACAGAGCCCGAAACUAAAACCCUAGACGAUGAACUGACCUCCACCUCUGCACCACCCAAAAAUCCGAUGGCUCCCCCACCGCCUAAAAGUUCCGAACCCUCUGAAUCCGGAGGCAGUCACGAACAUCCUCCUCAGGAGGAGCCAAUUGCCGCCGACGCUAGGCCAGAGUCGCGCCCGAAUGUGGCGGUGCCGUAUACGAUUCCGGACUGGAGUGGACCUCCCAGCCACCAGUACUUCUUGGAAGUCCUCAAAGAAGGCUCCAUCAUUGAUCAGCUUCAUAUAUACGAAAAGGGGGCAUAUAUGUUUGGGCGUGUAGAUCUCUGUGAUUUCGUCCUGGAGCACCCAACUAUUUCUCGCUUUCACGCGGUUCUUCAGUUCAAGAGAAAUGGAAGUGCUUAUCUUUAUGAUCUUGGCAGUACACAUGGGACCUUUGUAAACAAGAAUGAGGUGAAGAAAAGGGUUUAUGUGGACUUGCAUGUUGGUGAUGUGAUUCGAUUUGGCCAUUCUUCUCGGUUAUACAUAAUCCAAGGACCAGCUGAAUUGAUGCCACCUGAAAGUGACUUGAAGGGUAUCAGAAAUGCUAGGAUGCGAGAUGAAAUGCAAGAUAUGGAAGCAUCACUUGUACGAGCAAGAGUGCAAGCCUCCCUUGCUGAUGGUAUCUCAUGGGGCAUGAAGGAAGAUGCCAUAGAAGAAACUGAGGAUGAUAUUGAUGAAAUAACAUGGCAAACCUUCAAGGGGCAGCUUACAGAGAAGCAGGAAAAAACCCGUGAAAAAGUUGUAAAAAGACUUGAGAAGAUUGCUCAUAUGAAGAAAGAAAUAGAUGCUAUUCGUGCAAAGGAUAUCUCUCAAGGUGGGCUGACACAAGGGCAGCAGACUCAGAUUGCUCGGAAUGAACAGAGAAUUUCUCAGAUUAUGGAGGAGCUUGAAAACUUGGAAGAGACUCUAAAUGAGAGCAUCAGAGAAAGCAUGGGGGCACGUGCUGCAAGGACAUCACAUGGUACGAAGAAAGGAGUGACAGAAGAUGAAGAUUAUUUGAGUGAUGAGGAUGAGUUCUACGACCGGACAAAGAAGGUGGCUUCCAACCAGAAGGGUGGUGAAACCCAAUCAAUUGAAACAGCUGAUACCCUUCUUGAUAAGAAAGAUGCCAUUAUUAAAGAAAUAGAAGAGAAAAAAAAGUUGCUUUUGGAGGAGAAGGAUAGAAUGGUAUCAGAAAAUGAAGGUGUAGCUGAUAGUGGAGACACACUUGAUGCUUAUAUGUCUGGCUUAUCAUCGCAACUAGUGCUUGAUAAAACUGAGCAGCUCCAAGAGGAAUUGUCCACCCUUCAGUCACAAUUGGAUAGGAUACUCUACUUGCUGAAGAUUGCCGAUCCAGCAGGAGAAGCUGCAAGGAAAAGGGAAUUAAAUCUACAGGAUCCAAAACCUAAUCUGCCCCGGGUCCCUAGUUCUGCGAGUGUGAAGCAAACCCUGGUAGAACCAAUUAAAAAAAGUGGAACUGAAAAUACAAUGACUGGCUCCACCAAGAAAAAGGAAAUUUCUGGUGUGAUGAUGGAAUUGGGCAAGAAGCUGGAAGCAAUUGAGGAGGAGGAAGUAGUUGAUGCCACAGAGGGAAAAACUACCGUUUAUACUGUGGUGAAGCCCCAAUGGCUUGGGGCUGCACGAAACGUGGAGACAGAAGAGUCUCAGCAAGAAGCCCUAUUGGACGUACAGGAGCCUGAUCAGUUUGUUGACUAUAAAGACAGGAAGAAAGUUCUGAGAAACCAAGAAUCUGGACAAGGAGAUCCAGAGUCGGAGAUUGAAAAUGCUGCCCCUGGUCUAAUAGUAAGGAAGCCUAAGCCUAAGCAGGUUGAGAACAAUGCCAGUGAGACCAAAGCUUCUGAACACCCGACACAAACAUCUGUAGGAGCUGAAUUUAGGGCAGCAGAUGCCGUGGCUCUGCUGUUGAAACAUAAAAGAGGAUAUCAUGCAUCUGAGGACGAGGCAAAAGCACAUCACAUUGGAGACGGAGACAUUCGACAUGGGAAUGAAACCGGGAAGGAUGAUAACAAAAGGCAGAAAAGAGUGCUUGGCCCAGAGAGACCUCCAUUUCUAGAGAGUACUGACACCGAGUACGACACCUGGGUGCCUCCUGAAGGGCAAUCUGGUGAUGGAAGGACUUCUUUAAACGAUCGGUACGGUUACUGAUGGUUGGAUAUAUCCCACCUUUGGUAAAUGUAAUUUGUGGCUCUAUUGAAAGAUAUUAAUGAAGUGGGCAUAAGAUGAACUGCUGCCAGAGCCAAUAAUGUUGCCCAUUGUCAUUAACCUGAAGGCUGUGCUGUGCAUAAAAAUGAGUUUCUGCUGUUGCCCUUUGUUAUAUACAAAGAUCGCCAAAGUGCCCUUGGUUGGAUGAUCCCAAGCAUUUCCAUUUAUACUUUCCCUACACCAAAUGGGAAGCACAAACUGCAACCUGCAAUGAAAGGGAAGAAUUUCAAAGUGCAACACCUAAUCCAACCACUUAUGGAGGGAAGAAAGCAUAAAAAAAAUGCUUCAUUUUGUGGAGGAAUUUCAAGAGAUAAGUUCCAAUAACCACUUUCCACUCCGUAGAAGAGGUAAAGACUAAAUUUGCAGGUUUCUUCUUAUAAAAUGUUUUGGAAAUUCAUUGAACUCAUAAUUACUUUAUCAAUUAUGUACAAUAUGUAGGCACUCUAAAAUUUGUCUAGAUUUGAUUUAAAAAAAAAAAAAUUGAACCCUACUAGCAAGAAGGCCACUUGCUAUUGUGCCAAUCUUGAAACUGUAAUCACAUUGUUGAUGAAUGGUAAAA